CCCUUAGAUGUUCUGGGCCGCACGCGCGCUACACUGACGAUGGCAACGAGUUUUUCCUUCGCCGAAAGGUGUGGGUAAUCUUUUGAAACAUCGUCGUGCUGGGGAUAGAUCAUUGCAAUUUUUGAUCUUGAACGAGGAAUUCCUAGUAAGCGCGAGUCAUCAGCUCUCGUUGAUUACGUCCCUGCCCUUUGUACACACCGCCCGUCGCUACUACCGAUUGAAUGGUUUAGUGAGGACUCCUGAUUGGCGCCGCCGCCCCGGCAACGGAGCAGCGGACUGCCGAAAAGUUGUUCAAACUUGAUCAUUUAGAGGAAGUAAAAGUCGUAACA
rnacentral:rRNA from 1 species